GUAGGUGGCAAGCGUUGUCCGGGAAUUAUUGGGGCGUAAAGCGCGCGCAGGCGGUUCUUUAAGUCUGAUGUGAAAGCCCACGGCUCAACCGUGGAGGGUCAUUGGAAACUGGAGAACUUGAGUACAGAAGAGGAAAGCGGAAUUCCACGUGUAGCGGUGAAAUGCGUAGAGAUGUGGAGGAACACCAGUGGCGAAGGCGGCUUUCUGGUCUGUAACUGACGCUGAGGCGCGAAAGCGUUGGGAGCAAACAGGAUUAGAUACCCUGGUAGUCCACGCCGUAAACGAUGAGUGCUAAGUGUUAGGGGGUUUCCGCCCCUUAGUGCUGCAGCUAACGCAUUAAGCACUCCGCCUGGGGAGUACGGCCGCAAAGGCUG
rnacentral:rRNA from 1 species